CGACGGUGCCCGCGCCGAGGCGCGGGAAAAGGGAAUCCGGAAGGCUCCAUGGAGCCGUGCCGGAGCUGCCCCCGCAACUGUAUGCGGUGAGUUUCCCGUUCAUAGGCCACUGGGAUUGCCCCGGGAAGGCGGACGGCAAACGAUGACCCGAGAGCCAGGAAACCUGCCGUCGAUGA
rnacentral:ncRNA from 1 species